CUGCUCGGCACGCUGCGUCGUGGGUGUUGGGCGUCUCAUCGCAGGCUCGCCACUGCGUUGCUCGACUCGGUAAAUGGGAGGAGCACACCAAGCUCGCAAGCUACAGUAGGAAGCAAUCAAGCGGGCCAGGAAGAGCUGACUGACGGCCGCUACAGCUUGGAUCCAUGGGCUCCCCGCACAAAAAUCUUGGAUCCAUGGACGCCAAGACGCCUCUUCUGCUGCUUGUGACGCUGGCCAAGACGAUGGCCGCUCGUCACCUCCAGGAAGCUACCCAGCUGGCCAGCGCUUGGGCGCUCGUCACCGCCGGACAUUUCCCCUUCUCCUACGCCUUGGGCUCCGCCAUCUUCUACGCACUCUGCUACCUGCAGCUGCUGUGCCGCGAUUCAUGAGAGCAGGAGGACGUCAUGCACCGCGCCCUCUGGAUCGGGCAGUUGUACUGCGCCGCACUCCAGGCGGCCGUGGCGGCGCUGGCUCUGCUGCUCCCGUGCCGUCGCCGCCGGAUCCGCCCUGCCGUUGCCUACCUCGCGGUCGCGGUCGCCAUCGUCGGCCACUGUUUGCUGGCCAGCAUCGCGCCCCUCGCCGCCGACGCAGGACUAGGCUUGCUCGUCCCCUUGAUCGUCUACGCCGUGGCGGCGCUGGUGCUGCUACUCCCGUGCCGUUGCCGCCGGAUCUGCCAUGCCCUCGCCUACCUUGCGCUUGCGGUCGCGGUGGCGGCCGUCGUCAUCGGCUGCUGUAUUUUGGCGAGCUUCGUCCCCAUCGCCGUCGACACAGGACUAGGCAGGCUCAGGCUCAUCCUUUUGGUCGUCUACGUGGCGGUCAUGUUCACCCUUGCGGUGGGCGACCUCAGCUUCCUGGCCCUCCUCCUAGGAGGGGAAUUCCCCUGGGACUGCUGAUUGGUCAGCCCCAAGCUCAUGCCCAUGGAUCAGCUCAUGCUCAUGAGGUACUCACGUACGUACGUAACGAUCGACUUCCGGGGAAUAUUAAUAUUGAUGUGGUGCACUUCAUCUGCCUAGUAUUGGACCUUAAUUUGAUGCUGAAUUAGCCUGUUAUUUGUGUGAUCGAGAUAUGCUAGUAUUGAGUUCGUAGUAUUGAUGAACAAGCUACAUAUAUGGAGUCUGCUUUGAUGUAAUAUUGGACCUUUUUCUCUGCAUGAUCACCGGUAUAUGCCUAGCUUCGGUAUAAUUGAUGUUGCUGAAAUCGUCUAUGUAUGCAUGCACUCAUGUUGUAUUUGGCGUUAAGCAUUUCAUUAUGCUGGC